AGAGUUUGAUCCUGGCUCAGAUUGAACGCUGGCGGCAUGCCUUACACAUGCAAGUCGAACGGCAGCACGGGGGCAACCCUGGUGGCGAGUGGCGAACGGGUGAGUAAUACAUCGGAACGUGUCCUGUUGUGGGGGAUAACCCACCGAAAGGUGAGCUAAUACCGCAUGACCUGGAAACAGUAAAGCGGGGGACCGCAAGGCCUCGCGCGAUUGGAGCGGCCGAUGUCCGAUUAGCUAGUUGGUGAGGUAAAGGCUCACCAAGGCGACGAUCGGUAGCUGGUCUGAGAGGAUGAUCAGCCACACUGGGACUGAGACACGGCCCAGACUCCUACGGGAGGCAGCAGUGGGGAAUUUUGGACAAUGGGGGCAACCCUGAUCCAGCCAUGCCGCGUGAGUGAAGAAGGCCUUCGGGUUGUAAAGCUCUUUCGGUGGGAACGAAACGGUUCGUGCUAACACCACGGACUAAUGACGGUACUCACAGAAGAAGCACCGGCUAACUA
rnacentral:rRNA from 1 species